ensembl:lncRNA
AGCAAUCUCGCUUCAGUGAAGUGCAUAUCUUGACUUAACAGUAUGUCAGGGGUCAUAAUCCAGACUGAGGGAUUUGAGUUGGUCAGCAGACUUGGAUGGCUGCAGCUAUUGCGUACCAGAUGUCGUCUUGCCAAGUUGGUAGCUGGCCCAAUUCAGCCCUUUGCCACAGGCCCUUUCCCACUAGACAGCAGGAACCAUUGCAUUAGCUGUAAUUGGAGCUACAAGGAACUGUGCAACAGUAUGAAUAAAUCAGUAAAAACAACUCCAAGAGAGGAUAUACCAAUCCACUUUCUAUGGAUUUUAGUGUAUUGUUAAGGUGAAGAAGUCUUGCGGAUCAUGUAAGACAGAAAUGUUUGUGGAUUAGUCAUGUACUUAGGAAUCAAGAGCUGUCUUUUCCCAGCUGGCAAGGCCCAAGGCAUGUCAGCUGUGGUGCAGCACAGAGCA